AGCUGCUUGGUUGAGCUAAUUGAGACUCCCUUCCUUGUUGUCACCCUGAGUGAGAUUGAGAUUGUGAACUUGGAGAGAGUUGGUCUUGGACAGAAAAAUUUUGAUAUGACCAUUGUGUUUAAGGAUUUCAAGCGUGAUGUCCUUAGGAUUGAUUCUAUUCCAUCAACAGCACUGGAUGGCAUCAAGGAAUGGCUCGACACGACAGACAUCAAAUAUUAUGAGAGCAAGUUAAAUCUGAACUGGCGGCAGAUACUGAAGACAAUCACUGAUGACCCUCAGAGUUUCAUAGAUGAUGGUGGAUGGGAAUUUUUGAAUUUGGAAGCUAGCGAUUCAGAUUCUGAUAACUCAGAGGAUUCAGACAAUGGUUAUGAGCCAUCGGAAGCAGAACCUGACUCUGAAUCAGAAGAUGAUGACUCUGACAGUGAGUC
rnacentral:misc_RNA from 1 species